rnacentral:rRNA from 1 species
GAUGAACGCUGGCGGCGUGCCUAAUACAUGCAAGUCGAGCGAACAGACGAGGAGCUUGCUCCUCUGACGUUAGCGGCGGACGGGUGAGUAACACGUGGAUAACCUACCUAUAAGACUGGGAUAACUUCGGGAAACCGGAGCUAAUACCGGAUAACAUUUUGAACCGCAUGGUUCAACAGUGAAAGACGGUCUUGCUGUCACUUAUAGAUGGAUCCGCGCCGCAUUAGCUAGUUGGUAAGGUAACGGCUUACCAAGGCAACGAUGCGUAGCCGACCUGAGAGGGUGAUCGGCCACACUGGAACUGAGACACGGUCCAGACUCCGACGGGAGGCAGCAGUAGGGAAUCUUCCGCAAUGGGCGAAAUCCUGACGGAGCAACGCCGCGUGAGUGAAGAAGGUCUUCGGAUCGUAAAACUCUGUUAUUAGGGAAGAACAAAUGUGUAAGUAACUAUGCACGUCUUGACGGUACCUAAUCAGAAAGCCACGGCUAACUACGUG